UACGUAGGGACCGAGCGUUGUCCGGAUUCAUUGGGCGUAAAGAGCUCGUAGGCGGCUGCUCAAGUCGAAUGUGAAAACUCGAGGCUCAACCUCGAGCCUGCAUUCGAUACUGGGCGGCUAGAGUCUGGUAGGGGGAUCUGGAAUUCCUGGUGUAGCGGUGGAAUGCGCAGAUAUCAGGAGGAACACCGGUGGCGAAGGCGGGAUCCUGGGCCAGUACUGACGCUGAGGAGCGAAAGCGUGGGUAGCAAACAGG
rnacentral:rRNA from 1 species